GCAAGUCGAACGAGAACGGGUCCUUCGGGGCCUUAGUAAAGUGGCGCACGGGUGAGUAACACGUGGGUAACCUGCCCUUCGAUGGGGGAUAACAGUGCGAAAGCGCUGCUAAUACCGCAUACGAUCCUCCCAUCUAUGAUGGGUUGAUGAAAGCGGCGCAAGUCGCGUCGAGGGAUGGGCCCGCGGACCAUUAGCUAGUUGGUGGGGUAAUGGCCUACCAAGACGAUGAUGCAUAGCCGACCUGAGAGGGUGAUC
rnacentral:rRNA from 1 species